GAUCUGGGUCAUGAAAAUUUUCAUGAGCUAAUGUUGCCUGAAUCUUUGGCUAGUGAAAAUCCAAUGUUUUGUACUGUUUUCAAGUAUAUGGAUUCAACAAUUGGUGUUGUUAUGAGGAAUUAUGUUAACUUUUCUGACACUGAUAUAUGGGUGAUGAAAAAGUAUGGUGUCACAGAGUCAUGGACAAAGAUACUAACUAUUGGCAGAUAUGAGGGUGGUGUUCCAAGGGCACUGGGCUUUAGGAGGAAUGGUGAUGUGCUUUUUGAACUAUUUCAUGGGG
rnacentral:misc_RNA from 1 species